UCUGAUGCUAGGUAUGGAGCGGAAGACAUUACUCAUGAGCUCUACCACUGAGCUCCAGUUCCAGAUCCUGUUAGGAAUUACUGACCCAUUCCAGGAUGAAGCUUCUGAAAAUGAAUUCCUGUGCUGCCUGCUCAAGCCCCUGCUUAGUACCCGAAAGCCUCUUUUUCCCAGAGACAGACUAGGGCAGGGAGAUGCUUGCUGGAGCCCUAAGCAAGGAGGGUUGAUCUGCAGGUGGACUCAGGGAAUUUGGGCCUUCACUUUCAUCUACACAGAUAAUGUUUCCGAUGUGUUGGGGUAUUCAAGAUGGCAAAUUUCUUGUGGAAGGAAAGCUUGACAUUCAUUUACUAUCAAUUUUUUUUAAUUUUUAAAAUUUAAUUUUAAUUUUAUUUACUUAUUUUUGGUGUGAGGGAUUGAACCCAGAGCCUCACACAUGCUAUUGUACAC
rnacentral:lncRNA from 1 species